AGGGAGCUACCAUUUGAUUUUUAUGGGGGGGGGGCUAGGAUGAAAAAUUUUGUCCUGCAUUUUUUUUUAGCUGUAAUCUCUGUCCUGCCUUUUUAUUUUUCACUCUGUUCGGUCCUGGCUUUUUUUUUUUUUAGUUUAUCCUGACUUUUUUUUACCUGAAUUGUCGUCUUGACUUUUUUUUUUUUGCAAGUGUCUCAUCCUGCCUUUUUUUUUACUCAAAACUCCUGUCCUGCCUAUUUUUUUUCAAAUUUUAUCCUAG
rnacentral:lncRNA from 1 species